GACGAACGCUGGCGGCGUGCUUAACACAUGCAAGUCGAACGGUGAAGCGCCUUCCUUUUUGGUGGGUGUGGAUGAGUGGCGAACGGGUGAGUAACACGUGAGUAACCUGCCCCCUUCUUCUGGAUAACCGCAUGAAAGUGUGGCUAAUACGGGAUAUUCUGGGUCUGUCGCAUGAUGGGUCUGGGAAAGAUAUUGUUUCGGUGGGGGAUGGGCUCGCGGCCUAUCAGCUUGUUGGUGGGGUGAUGGCCUACCAAGGCGGUGACGGGUAGCCGGCCUGAGAGGGUGGACGGUCACACUGGGACUGAGACACGGCCCAGACUCCUACGGGAGGCAGCAGUGGGGAAUAUUGCACAAUGGGCGCAAGCCUGAUGCAGCGACGCCGCGGGAGGGAUGGAGGCCUUCGGGUUGUGAACCUCUUUCGCCAGUGAAGCAGGCCUGCCUCGUUUGUGGGUGGGUUGAUGGUAGCUGGAUAAGAAGCGCCGGCUAACUACGUG
rnacentral:rRNA from 1 species